UACGUAGGGCGCAAGCGUUGUCCGGAAUUAUUGGGCGUAAAGAGCUCGUAGGCGGCUUGUCACGUCGGUUGUGAAAGCCCGGGGCUUAACCCCGGGUCUGCAGUCGAUACGGGCUAGCUAGAGUUCGGUAGGGGAGAUCGGAAUUCCUGGUGUAGCGGUGAAAUGCGCAGAUAUCAGGAGGAACACCGGUGGCGAAGGCGGAUCUCUGGGCCGAUACUGACGCUGAGGAGCGAAAGCGUGGGGAGCGAACAGG
rnacentral:rRNA from 1 species